UACGUAGGGUGCAAGCGUUAAUCGGAAUUACUGGGCGUAAAGCGUUCGCAGGCGGUUUUUUAAGUCAGCUGUGAAAUCCCAGGGCUCAACCUUGGAACUGCAUUUGUGACUGCAUUGCUAGAGUACGGUAGAGGGGGAUGGAAUUCCGCGUGUAGCAGUGAAAUGCGUAGAUAUGCGGAGGAACACCGAUGGCGAAGGCAAUCCCCUGGACCUGUACUGACGCUCAUGCACGAAAGCGUGGGGAGCAAACAGG
rnacentral:rRNA from 1 species